rnacentral:rRNA from 1 species
ACUCCUACGGGAGGCAGCAGUGAGGAAUAUUGGUCAAUGGGCGAAAGACCUGAACCAGCCAUGUCGCGUGCAGGACGACUGCCCUAUGGUUGUAAACUGCUUUUAUAUGGAAGAAAUGCGAGUACGUGUACUUGUUUGCCGGUACCAUAUGAAUAAGCAUCGGCUAACUCCGUGCCAGCAGCCGCGGUAAUACGGAGGAUGCGAGCGUUAUCCGGAUUCAUUGGGGUUUAAAGGGUGCGUAGGCGGAAGUGUAAGUCAGGGGUGAAAGUUUGCAGCUCAACUGUAAAAUUGCCUUUGAUACUGCAUUUCUUGAGUACAUUUGAGGUAGGCGGAAUGUGUUGUGUAGCGGUGAAAUGCUUAGAUAUAACACAGAACACCGAUUGCGAAGGCAGCUUACUAAACUGUAACUGACGCUGAUGCACGAAAGCGUGGGGAUCGAACAGGAUUAGAUACCCUGGAGCACAGAG